UCGACAGAACCGCCACUCCUCCACCGCCGUCUAAGAGCUGCUGCGGGAUUAACGGCGUCGCCAUGCUCUCUAUCUUUUUUUUUUCUUUUCGUUUUGUAAUUUUCUCAGCGAAUUUUCCCGGAUGUUUAAUUUUCCCGGAAAAAUUUUCUCUAUCUAGAUCUUCUUUACACUUCGUCGUUGUUGAAAUUCUUUGUGUGAGAAAAAAAAAAUGUGUGAUAUUUUUUUGUUUGUGAAGAUUAUAAGAGCAACGUUGUACCAAAAAAAAAAGAGUAACGUUUAUUUUUUGUUAUUUUUUGUUUUGGUCUGAACAGAAAAAUAAUUUUUGGCUUGAGGUGUGGCGUGUGAAUGUGUGAUAAGGUUUUUUGGACAAAAAAGACAACCUGCGAGCGAGUGAGGGAAGAUCAUGAUGAUGUUUAUAUACCUGUGAUAUUGCCACGUGGAUUAUUUUACCACAUAGGAUAAUUAUGUCAUAUUUGGGGUAACUUAACUUGAUUGGGACAUUGAAAUAUGAUAUUUAUGGAAAUAUUUUUUGCUAACAAUUGGGAUAUGGAAUUUCGGUUAAAUAGGUAAAUAAUAUUUGUCAAAAAAAGUAAAUAUAAUUUUCAUUAUUGAAGGGUUAUGCAUGCAGUCAUUUUCAUUAUUGUUGUAUAC
rnacentral:lncRNA from 1 species